rnacentral:rRNA from 1 species
UACGUAGGGUGCAAGCGUUGUCCGGAAUUAUUGGGCGUAAAGAGCUCGUAGGCGGUUUGUCGCGUCUGCUGUGAAAACGCGAGGCUCAACCUCGCGCCUGCAGUGGGUACGGGCAGACUAGAGUGCGGUAGGGGAGAUUGGAAUUCCUGGUGUAGCGGUGGAAUGCGCAGAUAUCAGGAGGAACACCGAUGGCGAAGGCAGAUCUCUGGGCCGUAACUGACGCUGGGGAGCGAAAGCGUGGGGAGCGAACAGG